rnacentral:rRNA from 1 species
CCUACGGGUGGCAGCAGUAGGGAAUCUUCCACAAUGGGCGAAAGCCUGAUGGCGCAACGCCGCGUGGGUGAAGAAGGUCUUCGGAUCGUAAAACCCUGUUGUUAGAGAAGAAAGUGCGUGAGAGUAACUGUUCACGUUUCGACGGUAUCUAACCAGAAAGCCACGGCUAACUACGUGCCAGCCUCCGCGGUAAUACGUAGGUGGCAAGCGUUAUCCGGAUUUAUUGGGCGUAAGGGGAACGCAGGCGGUCUUUUAAGUCUGAUGGGAAAGCCUUCGGCUUAACCGGAGUAGUGCAUUGGAAACUGGGAGACUUGAGUGCAGAAGAGGAGAGUGGAACUCCAUGUGUAGCGGUGAAAGGCGUAGAUAUAUGGAAGAACACCAGUGGCGAAAGCGGCUCUCUGGUCUGUAACUGACGCUGAGGUUCGAAAGCGUGGGUAGCAAACAGGAUUAGAUACCCGAGUAGUC